UUCCCAUCCCGAACACAGAAGUUAAGCUCUCCAGUGCCGAUGAUACUUGGGUGGAGACGCCCUGGGAAAGUAGGUCGCUGCCGGAU
rnacentral:rRNA from 1 species